GGCUACAUCGUCACAAACAUGUCUGACUUCCGUUCGAAACGCCAUUGUGUUCCGGAUUGAUAACAUUAUGUCGUGGUACAAAAUAGCUAUACACAGUUUAAUUGAACUCUUCUAACUAAGGAGACGAGAUAGGACUGAAAUCACCAAAACGCUUAGAAAACAUGUCAAUUUUCUUCCUGUUUAUAGCUUUUAACUAACAUUGAUUAUCAGCUGUUUUGUACGGAAAACGUGGACUCUAAAUAAUAUACCGUUUCCCUGCUCUGCUGCUAUUGGCAAUACAUUUUUUUCAUGUCAUCUGCAACAGACGAUCAUACAUAUGUGGCGGAUUAUCGAUAUAGAUACAGCUAGGUAGCAAUAGCAGUGGAAGCCCGGAUUUGCAAGCAAAAUAAGGGAAAGACAGGAUUCUGAAAAGGAGCAUGUUUUUCAUUUCCACACAUGCAUGUGUAUCACUAUGGACAUCUAAUGUUUUUGUGGGAUUUUGUCCAGCAGUUUGCCUUAACAGAAUUUUUUUAUAUUUUAGUUUCAUAUUUAUGUGGAUUCCAAUAAAAAUCAUACAAACUUCA